UACAGAGGGGGCAAGCGUUAUUCGGAAUUAUUGGGCCUAAAGCAUCCGUAGCCGGCCUUACAAGUCCUCCGUUAAAUCCAGCUGCUUAACAGAUGGGCUGCGGAGGAUACUAUAAGACUAGGAGGCAGGAGAGGCAAGCGGUACUCAGUGGGUAGGGGUAAAAUCCGUUGAUCCAUUGAAGACCACCAGUGGCGAAGGCGGCUUGCCAGAAUGCGCUCGACGGUGAGGGAUGAAAGCUGGGGGAGCAAACCGG
rnacentral:rRNA from 1 species